rnacentral:rRNA from 1 species
AGCGGCGGACGGGUGAGUAAUGCCUAGGAAUCUGCCUGGUAGUGGGGGACAACGUUUCGAAAGGAACGCUAAUACCGCAUACGUCCUACGGGAGAAAGCAGGGGACCUUCGGGCCUUGCGCUAUCAGAUGAGCCUAGGUCGGAUUAGCUAGUUGGUGGGGUAAUGGCUCACCAAGGCGACGAUCCGUAACUGGUCUGAGAGGAUGAUCAGUCACACUGGAACUGAGACACGGUCCAGACUCCUACGGGAGGCAGCAGUGGGGAAUAUUGGACAAUGGGCGAAAGCCUGAUCCAGCCAUGCCGCGUGUGUGAAGAAGGUCUUCGGAUUGUAAAGCACUUUAAGUUGGGAGGAAGGGCAGUAAGUUAAUACCUUGCUGUUUUGACGUUACCGACAGAAUAAGCACCGGCUAACUCUGUGCCAGCAGCCGCGGUAAUACAGAGGGUGCAAGCGUUAAUCGGGAUUACUGGGCGUAAAGCGCGCGUA